UUAGGCUUCAGAAUGAAUGCCUCCUCGUGGCCUAUGUUCCUCCUGAGAACCCUGACUGGAGCAGAGAUGGCACCAGCCACAGCUUUUAAAAAGGAACCCUCCAUGCCUCCCAGAACCUCUUUAAACCUGGGAUGAAGCUAGAAGCAGUGGACAAGAAGAACCCUACCUGAUUUGCCGGCAACCAUCGGAGAGGUCAAAGGUGAUGAGAUCUUUGUGAUGUUUGACGGCUGGAGAGGGGCCUUCGACUACUGGUGCCAGUUUGACUCCAGAGACAUAUUCCCUGURGGAUGGUGUUCUCUGACCAGGCACAGCAUCCAGCCUCCUGGCAACUUCUGUAAGUACCUCAACCUCACCACUAGAGGACAGCAGAGCCCUGCUUUCUGAUGCGUUUGACCUGUCUGUCUGUCACCACGGGUGCUGCUGGCCCAGGGUUUCUUUCUGAAGCUGCCUGAAUGAGCAGAGCUGGAUGAGAAAAACAAACAGUUUCUUUCUGCGAGGAUUUCGCUGGCUGUUUUCCCCUAUUUCCUGUGUUAUUUCCUGUAUAUUUGACUAAAAUACAACCAGUAGGUUUACUACAAUUAGUACUUUUCCACUGGUAAUAAUAUUCCUUAAUGUGUUCCACUGGUGUACCUUCAAGCAGUAUUGUCCUUCCACACAUUGCAUU